rnacentral:tRNA from 1 species
GGGCCUGUGGUAUAGUGGUAGAACACCUCGUUUGCAUCGAGGAGAUGGGAGUUCGAUUCUCCCCAGGUCCA